GUAGUGGAAUUAUGCUGAGAUUUGCAGCAUAACUGUGGGACCUUGAGACUUCUUCCCCUGUCAUACAAGAAUUAAAGAAGCUGUUGUAUCAGGCCGCGUGAACACACGUCCUCACGCUGCGUGCUAGCUGGGCUUCCGAGUCCAUCUGCAAGAGCAGCUUGGGACAUGACACACACGUUACUGCAGGAGACACAGAGAGAACCCGGGUGACCUCUGAGUUCCCACAAAGCAGAAUUCUCAAAUCCCUGGUUGAGCCUCAUUAUUUUAAGGAGAUACAGUGGAAUCCCAGAGCAGAGAUGUGAUUGUCCCAAGGCGACACAGCAAGGGGGUUGCCACCCUACUUGCCAUGCAGGUUUCAUGAUUCCCAAUCCUGUGCCUUAGCUUCCAAACUGGCUCUGCGUGGAGGAAAAGACAGAGGGUCAGGGUGGCCUUUAAGGAUGUGAUUUCAUAGGUAUGAAGAUCCUCUAAUCUAAGGACACCUCCCCUCAGCUGCCCAACAGCGCCUGAAAUCCCGCCUUUACCAACUCACUCGCAGGACUUCAAGAGUCUCAAGAUUUUCUAUGCCAAGUAUGUGUUAUUUGGAAAACCAGGAAAAAAUUAAGUGAAAAUAAAAUGAAAAAGAAUAAAGCCUCUUUCCCUAGGUGGACCUUGAUGACUUCAUCAGCACUCCUUGGGGAAAAGCAUUCCAGUCCUGCCUGCACCAAAUUGUGCCGACUUCCACCUGCAUGUCCCCUUCCCACCCCCAGGGAAUGGGAAAAUCUCUUCAGCCUCUUGCAGGAGCCCAGGGUGUUCUCCCCGCAACCCGCAGGAACCUGGGAAAGAAGCACCAAGACCAUGGGGAAGGGGAGCGAGGGGCUUGCCUUGGUGUGCGGUCCAAGAUCAUAGCAAUCACUUCAGGCACCUGCCCAGGUGUUGUUUCAUCUAAGGGAACGGGUUUAAAGCAGUUUUCCUGCCAACGGUUUUUGUAAAAGGCACGGAGAGAGCGUAAAGUUCAUGGUUCCAGUGGGUGCAGGAUUCAGAAGGGCCUCCAGGUGGUGAGGAAAAGGGCCCAGCCAGGAAGCGUCUGCCUUCGGCUCAGGUCAUUUUCCCAGGGUCCUGGGAUGGAGACUGCUUGUCCCUCUCCCUCUGCCUCC